rnacentral:sRNA from 1 species
UUUUAGCUCUGAUUGCAACGAAAAUCCUUUUUAUUUUUUUCUUUAAAAAUAAAAAGAUUGUAGUGUAAAGCAGGACACGAG